GGGCCCGUAGCUCAGUUUGGAUAGAGCAUCUGCCUCCUAAGUAGAGGGUCGUGGGUUCAAAUCCCAUCGGGCCCGCCA
rnacentral:tRNA from 1 species